rnacentral:rRNA from 1 species
UAAGGAAUAUUGGUCAAUGGACGCAAGUCUGAACCAGCCAUGCCGCGUGGAGGAUGAAGGCCCUCUGGGUUGUAAACUUCUUUUAUCUGGGAAGAAACCUACGAUUUCUAUUGUAGCCGACGGUACCAGAUGAAUAAGCACCGGCUAACUCCGUGCCAGCAGCCGCGGUAAUACGGAGGGUGCAAGCGUUAUCCGGAUUCACUGGGUUUAAAGGGUGCGUAGGUGGGUCUGUAAGUCAGUGGUGAAAUCUCCGGGCUUAACUCAGAAACUGCCGUUGAUACUAUAGAUCUUGAAUAUCGCGUAGGUAAGCGGAAUAUGUCAUGUAGCGGUGAAAUGCUUAGAUAUGACAUAGAACACCAAUUGCGAAGGCAGCUUACUUCACGAUCAUUGACACUGAGGCACGAAAGCGUGGGGAGCAAACAG